rnacentral:rRNA from 1 species
AACUUUCAACAACGGAUCUCUUGGUUCUGGCAUCGAUGAAGAACGCAGCGAAAUGCGAUAAGUAGUGUGAAUUGCAGAAUUCAGUGAAUCAUCGAAUCUUUGAACGCACAUUGCGCCCCUUGGUAUCCCAGGGGGCAUGCCUGUUCGAGCGUCA